GCCCUGGUAGUAUAGUUCGGUCACAUUGAGGCUAUACGCCCGACCCGGGUUCAAAUCCCGGCCAGGGCG
rnacentral:tRNA from 1 species